rnacentral:rRNA from 1 species
GGAGCUAGCGUUGUUCGGAAUCACUGGGCGUAAAGCGCACGUAGGCGGAUGUGUCAGUCAGGGGUGAAAUCCCGGAGCUCAACUUCGGAACUGCCUUUGAUACAGCACGUCUUGAGUCCGAUAGAGGUGGGUGGAAUUCCUAGUGUAGAGGUGAAAUUCGUAGAUAUUAGGAAGAACACCGGUGGCGAAGGCGGCCCACUGGAUCGGUACUGACGCUGAGGUGCGAAAGCGUGGGGAGCAAACAGG